rnacentral:snoRNA from 1 species
UCUCGGGACGCACCAAGAUGGCCCACGGCACCUGGCUGAGAAGUCCGCUCCAUGGCUAAAGUCCCUU